rnacentral:rRNA from 1 species
UUCGCAAUGCCCGAAAGGGUGACGAAGCGACGCCGCGUGGGUGAGGAAGGCCCUCGGGUUGUAAAGCCCUGUCAGGAGUUAAGAAAUGUAGGUACGCUAAUAUCGUAUCUAUUUGACAAAGGCUCCAAAGGAAGCCACGGCUAACUCUGUGCCAGCAGCCGCGGUAAUACAGAGGUGGCAAGCGUUGUUCGGAAUUAUUGGGCGUAAAGAGCACGUAGGUGGAUUUGUAAGUCAGAUGUGAAAGCCUUCUGUUCAACGGGAGAAUUGCAUCUGAAACUACAAACCUUGAGUGUAGGAGGGGAGAAUGGAACUUCUGGUGGAGCGGUGAAAUGCGUAGAUACCAGAAGGAACGCCGGCGGCGAAAGCGAUUCUCUGGCCUAUUACUGACAUUCAGUGUGCGAAAGCUAGGGGAGCAAACGGGAUUAGAUACCCCGGUAGUCCUAGCCGUAAACGAUGGGCACUAAGUAGAGGGGUUUU